rnacentral:rRNA from 1 species
GUGUCAGCAGCCGCGGUAAGACGAACCGUGCGAACGUUGUUCGGAAUCACUGGGCUUAAAGGGCGCGUAGGCGGGCCGCCCAGUCAGGGGUGAAAUCCUCCGGCUCAACCGGAGAAGUGCCUUUGAUACUGGCGGCCUAGAGGGAGGUAGGGGCCUGCGGAACUUCCGGUGGAGCGGUGAAAUGCGUAGAUAUCGGAAGGAACGCCGGUGGCGAAAGCGAUCUGCUGGACCUCUUCUGACGCUGAUGCGCGAAAGCCAGGGGAGCAAACGGGAUUAGAUACCCCCGUAGUCC